rnacentral:rRNA from 1 species
CCUACGGGAGGCAGCAGUGAGGAAUAUUGGUCAAUGGACGAGAGUCUGAACCAGCCAAGUAGCGUGAAGGAUGACUGCCCUAUGGGUUGUAAACUUCUUUUAUAAAGGAAUAAAACGAGGCACGUGUGCCUUUCUGCAUGUACUUUAGGAAUAAGGAUCGGCUAACUCCGUGCCAGCAGCCGCGGUAAUACGGAGGAUCCGAGCGUUAUCCGGAUUUAUUGGGUUUAAAGGGAGCGUAGAUGGGUUGUUAAGUCAGUGGUGAAAUUUUGCGGCUCAACCGUAUAAUUGCAAUUGAUACUGGCAGUCUUGAGUACAGUUGAGGUAGGCGGAAUUCGUGGUGUAGCGGUGAAAUGCUUAGAUAUUACGAAGAACCCCGAGUGCGAAGGCAGCAUACUAACCUGUGACUGACGUUGAUGCUCGAAAGUGUGGGUAUCGAACAGGAUUAGAUACCCUUGUAGUC